GGCGCCGCUGGCGCUGUGGCCGGCCUCGGCCUACGCGAGCGGGCCGCUCAGUCUAAUUUGAACCGUCGCGCGCGCCCGACGCGGGGCCACCGACGAUCUCUCUCCCUUCCUCCGGCUCUCGCGACACGCGUGACACGCGAGGUAGGCGCCUCGUGUGUGCAUGCCGCGUGCGACACACGCGACUCGAUCCCCCCGUCGUCGUCAUCUCGCGUCCGGAGCCGCGAGACCGUCUUAUUACGCGAGAGGAAACGCUUUUUCUCGCGCGCGCGUGCGAGAGAUUUAAAAAAAAAAGAGAGAGAGAGAGAGAGUUCAGAACGAGAUAAGUGUGUGAUAACGCGCGGUUGACAAUUGCAACGUGGAUCGUGCGGUGAGAUUCUUCGGUACCGCAAGAAAAGAAAAACGGGAAGAAAUCGUGACGCGCGCGGCCGCGAAAAGAGUGUAAUAAGUGCUAAUAGAGUGCAGAAAAGCGAAGGACCGAGCGGGCGGGCGGCCGCAAAAACCGAGAGAGAGAGAAAGAUUAGUGGCGGGCGUCUCGUGGGUAUAUUUAAAUAGUAUCUCGGCUGGUCAGAGAGGAAGCCGACGCUUUCUUCAUCGUCGUCGUCGCCGUCUUCGUAUUCCCGUUCUCGUCUCCGACGCCCGAUUCGACCGCGACCCAUUUCUCUCUCUCUCAAUAUUUCGCUUUUCUCGAGAGGCAACGCGAGAGAUCGACGAGAAGAUCGCUCACGACAUCCCGGUUCAACUCGAUGUCGGAUCGUAGGAAAUCGACGUUUCUGAUGAUCCUCGCGGGUGUUUUUUGCUGCAAGGUCGAUAUGUUCCGUCUGCCUACUAACGCGAGCGAACACGUGGACUAGAGAACACUUAACUCUUCAUCAUUCGGAAGUCGUCGACUAUACAAGAUUCGAUCUCGCGCGAAAGUGUGGACAAGACUUUGGAACCUCGCGAUCCCAAGUAAACGGAUCGACGAGACCGUUCAAGUCGGCUCAGGAUGAUGGUGUGGAUGUAUGCGAAUCAUAAUGAUCAGAAUCCAUGAAAGCUCGAGGCUGAUUAUCGCGUCCGCGAUCGUCGCAGCCGCUGGCCGGGACCAUCUGCGAUAAUACCGAAUACAACACCGGCUGCCUACCUCCGCCGGGCUUCGAGGAUGAGGAGAAUGAUAUCGCGUAGGAUGAAGACGACGAAUGUCGAAGAAGCCCCGACGUUCCACUAUCGAUGGUACAACAUCUCGUGAAGAGUUCGAGGAUCCGAUUUGGUUGGCUAUUCGUAUCGGGACGACGAAUAGCAAAAGUCGUCUCGAUCGUGAGCAAGACCUACUGUCGCGAGAGAGGAUCAAAUUGAAGAGACAAGGACUUGGUUAAACAUAGGACACGCAAGUGCUUACGGCGAAGUGAAAGGGGACAGAGAGAAGGAAGAGAAUCGGGGUGACCGAGGUGUCGACCUCACCCCCGAAUCACACCGCUAAUCAGGUUGGAUGAUGUGGGCGCCUCUGCUUUUGGCCGGGUUCUUAAGUGGCUGGUGGGGCGCACUGGCGCUCGCUGCAGCACCCCCCGCCAUUAGGGACACCCUCGGGGCGACGACGAGCAGCGUCACCGAGACGAGGCGUUAUCCACCACCGUCGUCAUCGUCGACGAGCCUGGUAGGUCGGGAGGACGUGCGCGAAAUCACGGAAUAUCAAUCCGACGUUCGUCCUGCUCGUCGCGACCUUGACAAGGUCGAGCCGAGGCCAGUGGACCAGGAAGAACAUUCUUCUCCGGGAGAUGACACGCGAGGAAUCUCGCGACGCCUCUCGACCCAUGGAGGAUCGUCGCUCGGAAGUUGGGUCGCGUCGAUAGAUCCCGCGAAGGAGAUGGAAGAGGAGCGUUCUGCUGUCAGCCGCGCCUUUCACCCAGAGAUAAACGAGUCCGGUCUGACUCGCGUGCCCCGUCACUCCUCGACGCAGCCACCCUUCGCGUAUCCGCUAACGAUAGCGUCGACGCCAGCGGAAUCGUCGAUGGAAAGGCCGCGGAUCGCCAGAUCGGCGAAGCAACUACCAAAGAACCGCGUCAAGGCGGACUCGCCGCGCGAGCAGCGACGUCGCUGCAAAAAUAAGGAGCGAGGCUGCCGCGGACAGAAUUGGUGUCCCGAUGUGGACGUUGGUAAUCGGGCCUAUCUGGCGCCCACCGUGUUCGAGGGCAAGGUCCGCAGCAUGUCCUCGCUGAGAAAGCCGGGCUCGAACUACGCCGUGACCUUCGAAGUGAAGCAGGUCUACAAGAGCCAGCCGGGCUUUCAGCCGCUGCAGAAGAACGACAGCGUGCGGCUGCACUUUCGCGACAAAUCGGCGCCCGGCAAGUCUACCGUGUGCAACGGCCACGAGACCGGCAAUAAAGCCGGGAAGCAGCAGCGCGAUAAUCCGAGUGGUGUGGUGCGAGCCAAUAUUAAAAGGGGCAAAGUGUAUCUAGUGUUUGUGAACCGCGUGGGACCCAGGAACUUCACGAUCCUCGGACCGCCGGUGAUUCGAAGCAAGAAGAACGAGCAGGCCGUCCAGGCUGUCGCUCGACCAGAUUACGUGCGAGAAGUUACGUUGUCCGAACUCAGGGACUCGAUAGCGAGGUUACGGGAGAGAGUGAAGCUAGUAUGCAGAACGAGGGGCUCGCCGCCCCCGAGAGUGCACUGGUUGAAGGACGGUGUACCACUGCACCCCCGAAGAGGCCUCAGGAUUCAGCACAAACGGCGGAGAUCGAAAGUCGUAAUAUCCUCCGCGAAGCCUGAGGAUAGUGGCAGAUAUGAAUGCGUGGCUGAGAGUACUUCCGGUCAUCAGGCCUCACUCGCAGCCCAACUUCUAGUCGCUCAUGAUACCAAAAUUCCGGAAACAACGACAGCGGCAUGGCCGCGGCAGGAACAGCCCUGUCCGAUGUCAGGAGAUUUUUGCAUGAACGGUGGUACCUGCCUAUUUUUCGAGACCGUCGGUGAACCGGCAUGCAGAUGCGCGGAGGGUUUCACGGGUCUACGGUGCGAGACGAAGGACGUCAUCAGCACCGGAAAUAUGGAUAAGUUUUCUUCGUUCGCCGAGGACGUGACACUCGCCCGCUUCUAGCGCAUCUAGCGGCACUGUCAAGCUUGCACAUCGGGACAUUCAUCGUGUUUUGUUUUGUUGUAGCCUCACCCACUCAUCCCCUAUCCCCGUACAGGUUCCUGCAUCCGCGACUUCGCCCUCUCAGCGUUCCCUUCGGGCUCUUCUCCUCCUCCCAUCGUCGUGUCAUCACUAUCCGCCGAUCUUUCGCGUAGUCAUCUCGAGGACUCGUCGCCGUUCGCCCUCCGCCACUCGCCCUCCGUUUCAUCCCCUUAUACCAGCAUUCACCCCCCCUCCGUCAUCCCUCUCGUCCACGCGACAUCGACUCACCCCGAGACGACGACGCCGACCAUCGAGAGCCAUCAUCGUUUCUCAAAGGAGAGCCUCAGGGGACGAAGCGAGCCGCCGACCAACAUCAUCCUCGCGCAUAAUGCAUCCUGGACCGUCGUGAGUCAAAAUUUCGCGAGAUAGCCUGGACGAAAGCUGUAUCGUGCUGAGCGUCCUUUUCUGCGGAAUAAAAGGCCCGGAAGAGAGCGGCAAGAAGAAAAGUUUCAAUCCUGCGCUCGGAACUGCGCCUUCGUCCUGCAUCACAGAAAAGACUGUCACGUAGCAGAGUACUCGCACGUUUGCCCGGAGGAAAUCCCCCACGACUUCCUCCACGAACGGGAUUAGAAAACUUUCAACGACGCACCUCUCAUCACUUCAUCUGCAAGAAAACUUCGACCCUCCGUUCGACGGGAAGAAAUCACGAGGCGCUAAAACGACGCGAAUAAAUGUGGAAGAAAGUAUUAUUAACAACUCGCUCCGCCACUUAUUACAAUCUUUGUUCUCUGGUUAAAAUAUUCUCCCAGGGACAUUUAUUAUCUUGUUGCAAAUCUUGAGUACAAACUCUUGAUUAUAGUAAAUCGUUACAUUGACAAAUGAUCUCUAUAAUCAUUAAGAAUAUAUCCGUGUAUAUUUAUUUUUGACUAAAUUAGUUUCUCUUGGCUUACUAGAGUAAAACUAUUCUAAACUAUUCUAAUAUUUUUUCUAUUAUGGCUAUUACAAUAUUUUUUAUAAAAUAUUUCCUUCAAUAGAUAUUUCUCGCAAUUAUUAAAAGAAUCAUUGGACCAAUCUCUAUUAUUUUCUUCCACAAAAAUAUGAGAUUCAGAGUUUGACAAAUAUCAUCUUACAUCGUGGAAUCGAUGUAAAGUCAAUGUCAAAAUAUCGCGAUUGCGAGAGCGCACUUGUGAUUUCUGCUGCGGAUAAAAGGAAAAGUAUAUCACGAAAAGUGGAUCUCGAAUCGCUCCGUUUUCAGGGAAGUUUGUACGGGGAAAACGGGGAGAAUGAGAGAGGAAAGCCGUCGUAAAACUAUACCAUAGGGCACGUGCAGAUCGACGUACUACCAGGGGCAUGUCGUGAUAUCAUUUUACGGGAUUGCGCAGGAAGAGGAGGGACCCGCGAGGAUGAUCCCGAGUACUGUAAUAGGAUUUCCAGGAUCAGAGUUUUCCGCAGGAGGGACCGCGGUAUCUUCCGGGCACGCCAAGUAACGCGGGACGUUCAACUUCUACAAACAGGACGCGCGCUUUAAUUAGCGGAGUGUCCUACAAUUACAUAAGCUGCUGCAGCGAAAUUUUAACUAGGCAACUUUGGAUACCUUGGUCGAUAAUGCAUAACGAGACAACUAAUCUCGUACCGUUAAUUACACGCGUACGCGCGUUCGCGUAAAGGCCUAUAAUAUAAUUCAAAGAAAAUUUUGAUUAAGAGCUAUAUUAUAUUUGCAACUAUCUCGUAAAAAACCACUUCUUGUUUUUCUUAUUACCUCUACUUUUUUUUAAUGAAAUAUGCUUUUUAUUAUCUACAUCAAAUUCUCU